GUCUCAUCUCCCUCACUCCCCAUAGAAGUAAAAACCCUAAAUCUCCAAAAUUUCCAUAUUUCUCUCAAAGGCAUUUUCUUGAUUUGGGGAAAAUAUCAAGUUGAAAACCUGCUACCCAUCUUACCACAAGUUAUGGCACCUAGUAAGAAGUGGAUGCAACUUGUUGAUAAUCGACUUGAUGAAGCCUACUUAAAUGGGGUGCAAAGUUUUUUGGAUUACGCUUUUAAAAGAACAGGAGAAAUGUGUGAAAUACCAUGUCCAUGUAUCAAAUGUUGUAACACAACUUUAGAAACACGUGAGAUUGUAGAUGCACAUUUGAAAGUAUAUGGAAUAAUUUAAAAUUAUACUUUUUAGCAUCAUCAUGGAGAAGUUUUUGGUGAGCCACAAUCAGAAUGUGAAGAUGAAGAUGAGGAUGACAAUGAAGCAGAGGAGUGUGAGAGCGAUGAUGAAAUAUGAGAAAUAUUGAGUGAUUUAUAUCCUAAUAUUGAUGGAGGCACUACGGACAUUGGUUAUGAUGACUUACAUAAAGAAGAACCGAAUAUCGAAGCAAAAUUUUUUUACGGUUUAUUGAAGGGUUUUGAGCAACAACUAUAUCAGAAUUCUAAAUGUUCAAAGCUUUCUACUUUGAUUAAAUUACUUCACAUAAAAAGUAUUGGUCGUUAGAGUAAUGAGUCAUUUACAAUGUUAUUAAAAACGUUAAAGGAUGAGUUAUUGCCAGAUGGAGCUCAUUUGUCAGG